rnacentral:rRNA from 1 species
GAGCGGGCGUAGCAAUACGUCAGCGGCAGACGGGUGAGUAACGCGUGGGAACGUACCUUUUGGUUCGGAACAACCCCAGGGAAACUUGGGCUAAUACCGGAUAAGCCCUCACGGGGAAAGAUUUAUCGCCAAAAGAUCGGCCCGCGUCUGAUUAGCUAGUUGGUGAGGUAAUGGCCCACCAAGGCGACGAUCAGUAGCUGGUCUGAGAGGAUGAUCAGCCACAUUGGGACUGAGACACGGCCCAAACUCCUACGGGAGGCAGCAGUGGGGAAUAUUGGACAAUGGGCGCAAGCCUGAUCCAGCCAUGCCGCGUGAGUGAUGAAGGCCCUAGGGUUGUAAAGCUCUUUUGUGCGGGAAGAUAAUGACGGUACCGCAAGAAUAAGCCCCGGCUAACUUCGUG